UACGUAGGGUGCGAGCGUUAAUCGGAAUUACUGGGCGUAAAGUGUGCGCAGGCGGUUCUCCAAGUCCGUUGUGAAAGCCCCGGGCUCAACCUGGGAAUGGCAGUGGAAACUAGGGGACUGGAAUCUGGCAGAGGGGGGUGGAAUGCCGCGUGUAGCAGUGAAAUGCGUAGAUAUCUGGAGGAACACCGGUGGCGAAGGCGGCGUCCUGGACCAACACUGACACUGAGGAGCGAAAGCCAGGGGAGCAAACGGG
rnacentral:rRNA from 1 species